UACGUAGGCAGCGAGCGUUGUUCGGAGUUACUGGGCGUAAAGGGUGCGUAGGCGGUUGUUUAAGUUUGGUGUGAAAUCUCCCGGCUCAACUGGGAGGGUGCGCCGAAUACUGAAUGACUAGAGUGCGGGAGAGGAUAGUGGAAUUCCUGGUGUAGCGGUGAAAUGCGUAGAUAUCAGGAGGAACACCGGUGGUGUAGACGGCUCACUGGCCCGGUACUGACGCUGGAGGUGACGAAAGCCGUGGGGAGCAAACAGG
rnacentral:rRNA from 1 species